rnacentral:rRNA from 1 species
UACGUAGGUGGCAAGCGUUGUCCGGAUUUACUGGGCGUAAAGAGCGCGCAGGCGGUCGUUCAAGUCGCGUGUGAAAGCCCCCGGCUCAACUGGGGAGGGUCACGCGAUACUGAUCGACUCGAAGGCAGGAGAGGGUAGUGGAAUUCCCGGUGUAGUGGUGAAAUGCGUAGAUAUCGGGAGGAACACCUGUGGCGAAGGCGGCUUUCUGGGCCCUACCUGACGCUGAGACGCGAAAGCGUGGGGAGCGAACCGG